AACUGAUACUACCUGCGGGAACCUGCGGAAGGAUCAUUACAUGGCGGAGGAGGUGGGCACCUAGUAAAAACAAAACCCUAGGUGUGUUGCCUACCACGCUUUCUACCCUUGUCUAUUUGCACCUUUUGUCGUUCCCUCGGUGGGUCUUGAACCUGCCGGCGGCAACUUUCAAAAACCUUUUGUAGUUAGUAUCUAAUUCUUCUGAUCAAAUAUUCAAUCGUUACAACUUUCAGCAAUGGA
rnacentral:misc_RNA from 1 species